GAUUCGGGGAGCAGUGUCUCUUCGAUUUUUGAGAAAGUAAUCAUGUUAGGAGUCUGGCUCUCGAGAUUCGGAGGGCGGUGCCUCUUCGAUUUUGGAGCAAGCAAUCUUGUUGGGAGUGUUUUCUCGAAUGUGAGUAAAGGUUGGGCAUGUUUGCUAGUCUACCUUGCCACGAAGCUUCUCUUCGAUUUUUAAGAAAGUAGUCAUGUUGGGAGUCUGGCUCUCGAGAUUCGGAGGACGGUGCCUCUUCGAUUUUGGAGCAAGCAAUCUUAUUGGGAGUGUUUUCUCGAAUGUGAGUAAAGGUUGGGCAUGUUUGCUAGUCUACCUUGCCACGAAGCACAGAGGUUGACACACAGGGACUUUCCAAUUAUCCAGCAGUGGUACUGUUCCUUUACCCUUGUGGGUAAUAAUAUGGUAG
rnacentral:lncRNA from 1 species